rnacentral:rRNA from 1 species
UGGCGGACGGGUGAGUAAUGUCUGGGAAACUGCCUGAUGGAGGGGGAUAACUACUGGAAACGGUAGCUAAUACCGCAUAACGUCGCAAGACCAAAGGGGGGACCUUAGGGCCUCUUGCCAUCGGAUGUGCCCAGAUGGGAUUAGCUAGUAGGUGGGGUAACGGCUCACCUAGGCGACGAUCCCUAGCUGGUCUGAGAGGAUGACCAGCCACACUGGAACUGAGACACGGUCCAG